ensembl:lncRNA
CUCUGGAUGGAGCUUUGAAAGAGCACCUUGAGACUGCCACUGUUUUUAAGGGUACUUCAAAAACUGUCCAAAAUGAGCUCCUGGAUUGUAUGUUGUCUGUUGCAAGGGAGCAAAUAAUUAAAGAAGCUCAAAAGAGUGUUUUUGUAUCAAUCCAGGCAGAUGAGACAACAGAUAUUUCAACACAGACCCAACUUGUGCUUGUACUACGCUACAUUGAUGACAAACACAGUGUGCAGGAAAGAUUUUUUGAGUUCAUUCCUCUGCAGUCAUCUACUUCUGAGUCCAUUGCUACUGCAUUAAAAGAGCGUCUUGCUGCCAUCAUUCCUGAGGAUCAGAAAAGCAAGCUAAUCUGCCAGGCAUAUGAUGGAGCCAGUGUGAUGAGGGGUGCCACUGCAGGUGUUCAGAGGAAAAUCAAAGAUGAGUACCCAAAUGCCCACUAUAUCCACUGCUAUGCACACCAACUCAACCUGAUCAUGCAACAGGCCACCUCUCACAUUUCCAAGGUGAGAAUUUUUUUUUCUGACCUGGGUGGAUUUGCCAGCUUUUUUCCCGAUCACCCAAGCGUACAGCUGGUCUUGAUAAAAUGGUGGCCCAUAGACUGCCAACAUCCAGCAAUGUCAGAUGGAACUUUCACAGCCGAGCCAUCAACACUGUGUUUGAGCACAGACAGGAUCUCAUUCAGUGUUUUGAGAACAUACGCGACUCGGGUGACUUUGACCCCAAAACCAUGAGAGAGGCAGGAGGCAUGGCCAUGCUGCUGGAACAUCAGGAUUUUAAGUUCUUUCUGGAACUUUUUCACCACAUCAUGCCACAUGUGGACUUCCUCUAUGCCAAGCUCCAGAAGAAGAACAUAGAUGCAGUCCACAUCAAAGGGAGCAUCCAGCAGUUUGAACAGGACAUACAAAACAUCAGAAAUUCUCGCCAUUCCAUGGGUGAGCAAAGCAGUGGUUCUCUGACAGCAAAGAGGCGUCGGGUACUCAGUUCAGAGGAUCGUCAAAAUGUUGCAGAAGAGGGGAGUUUAUGUUGUAGAAAUCUGUCAUAGUCCAUUUGAGGUUGUAAUGUUUGUUAGAGGAGAAAUGUGUUUUGAAAUACAAUUUAAAAUAUGUCAUUGUCAUGUUGCAG